rnacentral:sRNA from 1 species
GGGGGGAGCAGGAGAAGCAGGCGAUCAAGAUGGCGUCUACAGAGGAGGAUGGUUCAGAUUUAGGUGAACUAGAUCGAUUUUAUCUUAUCCAGAUCUAACAGAAAAUUGCUCACAGUGAUAACACAGCACCGAAACCACGUUGGUUACAGCAUAAGGUUAAAUGAAGCCAACGGCAGCCUUGUCGCCAGAUGGGAAGAGCCGAUUGGGAAUGCUUUGUUAUAAGGGAUAACGGCUAAUAUUGAUUUCCAACUUGCCAGAUCUACAAUCACCAAGGAGACAGACUUCUGGGCAUGUCUCUGGGAGGGUUUCUACAAUGAGUUAAUUGAAAUAGGCAGUCACAAUCUAAAUGUGGAGCGCACCAUUCCAUAGACUGGGGCCCUGCACUGAAUAAAGGCAAAGUGUACAGAGA